UACAGAGGGUGCGAGCGUUGUUCGGAAUUAUUGGGCGUAAAGGGCGCGUAGGCGGCGCCACAAGUCACUUGUGAAAACUCUGGGCUCAACCCAGAGCCUGCAGGCGAAACUGUGGUGCUGGAGUAUGGGAGAGGUGCGUGGAAUUCCCGGUGUAGCGGUGAAAUGCGUAGAUAUUCGGAAGAACACCAGUGGCGAAGGCGACUUACUGGACACAUAUUGACGCUGAGGUGCGAAAGCGUGGGGAGCAAACAGG
rnacentral:rRNA from 1 species